rnacentral:rRNA from 1 species
UCUUCCCUCUUCCCUCGUGCCUAAUACAUGCAAGUCGAGCGAACAGACGAGGAGCUUGCUCCUCUGACGUUAGCGGCGGACGGGUGAGUAACACGUGGAUAACCUACCUAUAAGACUGGGAUAACUUUGGGAAACCGGAGCUAAUACCGGAUAAUAUAUCGAACCGCAUGGUUCAAUAGUGAAAGACGGUUUUGCUGUCACUUAUAGAUGGAUCCGCGCCGCAUUAGCUAGUUGGUAAGGUAACGGCUUACCAAGGCAACGAUGCGUAGCCGACCUGAGAGGGUGAUCGGCCACACUGGAACUGAGACACGGUCCAGACUCCUACGGGAGGCAGCAGUAGGGAAUCUUCCGCAAUGGGCGAAAGCCUGACGGAGCAACGCCGCGUGAGUGAUGAAGGUCUUCGGAUCGUAAAACUCUGUUAUUAGGGAAGAACAAAUGUGUAAGUAACUAUGCACGUCUUGACGGUACCUAAUCAGAAAGCCACGGCUAACUACGUG